GACGAACGCUGGCGGCGUGCUUAACACAUGCAAGUCGAACGGAAAGGCCCUGCUUUUGUGGGGUGCUCGAGUGGCGAACGGGUGUGUAACACGUGAGUAACCUGCCCUUGACUUUGGGAUAACUUCAGGAAACUGGGGCUAAUACCGGAUAGGAGCUCCUGCUGCACGGUGGGGGUUGGAAAGUUUCGGCGGUUGGGGAUGGACUCGCGGCUUAUCAGCUUGUUGGUGGGGUAGUGGCUUACCAAGGCUUUGACGGGUAGCCGGCCUGAGAGGGUGACCGGCCACAUUGGGACUGAGAUACGGCCCAGACUCCUACGGGAGGCAGCAGUGGGGAAUAUUGCACAAUGGGCGGAAGCCUGAUGCAGCAACGCCGCGUGCGGGAUGACGGCCUUCGGGUUGUAAACCGCUUUCGCCUGUGACGAAGCGUGAGUGACGGUAAUGGGUAAAGAAGCACCGGCUAACUACGUG
rnacentral:rRNA from 1 species